rnacentral:rRNA from 1 species
GGUGAACGCUGGCAGCGUGCCUAACACAUGCAAGUCGAGCGAACGGACGGGAAGCUUGCUGCUCUGAUGUUUGCGGCGGACGGGAGAGUAACCCGUGGAUAACCUACCUAUAAGACUGGGAUAAUUUCGGCAAACCGGAGCUAAUACCGGAUUAGAUUAUGUAUCACAUGGUUCAAAAGUAAAAGACGGUCUUGCUUUCACUUAUAGAUUUGUCCGCGUAGCAGUAGCUGAUUGGUAAGGUAACGGCGUACCAAGGCAACGAAGCAUAUCAGACCUGGGAGGGUGAGUGGCCGCCCUGGGACUGAGACACGGCACAGACGCCCACGGGAGCCGGCAGUAGGGCAUCUGCCGGCAUGAGCGAGAGCCUGUCGGAGCAACACCGAGAGAGUGAUGAAGGUAUUCGGAGCGUAAAACUCAGUUAUUAGGAAAGAACAUAUGUGUAAGUAGCUGUGAACAUCUUGACGGUACCUAAUCAGAAAGCCACGGCUAACUACGUG